UACGAAGGAUGCAAGCGUUAUCCGGAUUUAUUGGGUUUAAAGGGUGCGUAGGCGGACUUAUAAGUCAGUGGUGAAAUCUCGUUGCUUAACAACGAACGUGCCAUUGAUACUGUAGGUCUUGAGUACAGAUGCCGUUGGCGGAAUGUGUCAUGUAGCGGUGAAAUGCAUAGAUAUGACACAGAACACCGAGUGCGAAGGCAGCUGACGAAACUGUAACUGACGCUGAGGCACGAAAGCGUGGGGAUCAAACAGG
rnacentral:rRNA from 1 species